UUUUUUUUUUUUUUUUUUGUCUUUUUAGGGCCACACUCAUACGGCAAUGGAUUCAGCCCUUAAAAAAAAGAAAAAAAAAAUUGAAAGCUCUGAAUGGUAAAGGUUCACUUCUCUGUUGAUUCAUCAGGACUGUCCUGUUGAGAUGCCAGAAUUUACAAGUGCAAAAUAAUGACUGGCAAAGGAAAGUGCCCAAGCGAAAGAGAGGAACAGAAUUCACCUGCAGCAAAGAUCCAGAGCCUCAGACACAGUCUUCUGUGGCAUGUGGCAAUAACUCAGACAUCAGUGGGCUAAUAGCCUGUGCUUUUAGCACCAAGGAGGGCAAGGCUACAUUCAUAUUCCUGAAGAGUCAGUCCUGAUUUCUCCAAGUGAUGAGACUAGAACAGGAAGGCUACCCUAUUUGUUACUGUAAGAACCUAGCAUUAUGAGAGGCUUAGGGCAAAAACCUGCUGUGACCCAUGGGAAAAUAUCUGCCCAGGAAACGAUCAAUAGUUUUAUACUAUAUUUAGCUAAAGUUUUACGCCUGAUGACAAACACAGUCCAUAAAUGUCACUUGGCAAUUUGCAUUGGCAAAAAUUAUUAGCCAAAAGUCACACAUGGGGCAUACAUGCUUCCAGCCACCAUAUAACUGAUUACACCAUGUCUUCAUAUUUAUAACGAUGCUGUAUGUCCCCAUUAGACCCAAUAUAUUAUUUCUCUGCACCACUUAUUAUGAAGAUUGUUUUUUUGUUUUGUUUUGUUUUGUUUUUUGCUUUUAGGGCCGUACCUGCAGCAUAUGGAAGUUCCCAGGUCAGGAGUCAAAUUGGAGCUACAGCUGCCGGCCUAUAACCACAGCCACAGCAACACAGGAUCCCAGCUGUGUCUGUGACCUACACCACAGCUCAAGGCAAUACCAGAUCCCCAAGCCACUGGGCAAGGCCAGGGAUCUUACCUGAAUCCUCAUGGAUCCUAGUCAGAUUCAUUUCUGCUGCACUACAACGGGAACUCCCUGAAGAUUUUUCUUCAUUAAGGUACUUCCCAAUCACACAGAGCUUUCAAAAGGUCAUAUUUUUAACCUGAAUAAAUACAGUUGUAUUUAUCACCAAAUAAUCCCUUCAAAAUUAGAAAUCACUGGGGUAUUAAAGAGAUCUAAGGCUAAACAGUCAUUCAGGAAACGUAAACUUAAUGAAGGGCAACCUCUCACCAGGUCCUAUAUCCCCCAAAAUAACACAGGGCAACAAAGUCUUAGCAUUUUGUUUCUGUAUUAAGGACUGAUUUAUGCUCUGUCAAAAUGUACAUCCACAAGCAAAAUAAAUUACUGUAGUUAUUCUAAGCCACCAAGUUAUGAGGUGUUUUGGUUAUGUAGCAAUAGCUAACACAAACACUCCCUGUAAGAAGAACAUGGGGGUGCAUGCGAGGGGCUGUCCUCCUCGUGGAGACAAACACUCAGUGGCAUCAAAACAGGGAAGGGAAAGGACAGCCUUCGCCUGUGCUCCUAACACCUUCCCAUCCCCCAAGUCCACACCUCAUUGUAGUCUGGACACUCUGGCCCUGAAUAUGUUCUAAUAAACACUGGGGCAAAACCAAUUUCACCUCACUUGUUCUGUUCAGAAAGGUGAAGAGAGAAGACGAGCUGAAAUACCUGAGUGACAAGGACAGUGUCUUAUCCUACUCGUGUGCUCACUAUGCAGUAGGAACUUUAUAUACAUACUCAUAUUAAACAAAUAUUGGGAGUUCCUAUUGUGGCGCAGAGGAAACAAAUCAGUCAGAUUUAUUGAGAUACACUGUUAAAAACAGAUUUACAUGGAGUUCCUGUCGUGGCUCAGUGGUUAAUGAAUCUGACUAGGAACCAUGAGGUUUCGGGUUCGAUCCCUGGCCUUACUCAGUGGGUUAAGGAUCUGGCGUUGCUGUGAGCUGUGGUGUAGGGUGCAGAUGUGGCUCGGAUCUAGCUGUGGCUGUGGCAUAGGCUGGCAGCUACAGCUCCAAUUAGACCACUAGCCUGGGAAUUUCCACAUGCCUCGGAUGCCGCCCUAAAAGGACAAAAAGACAAAAAAAAAAAAAAAAAAAAAAUUGAACUCUUGGGAGUAUUUUUUUUCUCACUGUUGCAUGUGUUAACUGUGAAUCUGUGUGUGUGUGCGUGUUCUAAUGUUAAACAAAUAAGUAACUAUAUUGGGGACAAUAACAAGGUGUCUCCCUGUCAGAAAAGGGAGUUUAUAAACACAGAAAGAGAAGAGACUAGAAUGACCCCUGUGGAACUGGCCUGGAAUUAGAGGCAUCAGUGUGAACCCUAAUUUCUGUUGAAUAAUUACGUAGAGAAAGGCAGAGAAAUAAAAUGUAUGGAUGAAUGACAGGUGUAAGGUAGACACUAAAGUAGUUACAGAUGUACAUAUGUAUUUAUAUAUAUUUAAAAUAUGGUUUAUAUUUUAGGAUAGAGAGAGAGACAGAGAGAGAUUGUCUAGCAGCAAUUGGAGAUAGUCCAAUGAAAGGACCUACUAGCAAUGAGCACACACAAUGCUCAGAUCUUGGUUUCUAAAAACCAUUUCUGAAAUAAAUGUAACCAGGGCUCCCUGGAGAAAUGGCUGAUUCCAGCUCUGGGGUUGCGGAGUUACAAACUAACCCUAGAACAUUUUGUUGUAUCAGAAAAAGAAAUAAUGAGGAACAAUGGGGAUAUGUCAGAUGGGAACAAGCCAGCUUGAGGGGAAUCACACUGACCAAAUUUAGAGUAAUAUAAGCACUGAAGAAUGUGGAUAUUCACCUACGAACCAUUCAAUAAGCUAAAACCCCAUGAAUCCAUAUUGAUUAAAUAAAGUAUAACAGGAAGGCCAACUAAUAAAUGUAGAGGUGAUAAUGUAAUUAGAAAAGCACCGUUUGGCAGCACCACUAUAAUAACCGGUUCAGACAAGAAUCAUCAGUGGACAGUAAAACUAGUGAGUGAAAGCUUGAUGAGAAAUAAGAUACUGACCUAGUCUCAAAAACACUUAUUGAUCAUACGUAUUAAUAAUUUCAGUGGAGAAACUUAAGAGAUACCACCUUAACCAAGUGAUGAUGCUCAUGCCGUCAGUAACGAAAGAGACUGAUGUUGUGGGCCUUUGGCUGUGGUGUUUUAAGAAGGAACAGCAGCCCUCCAGGGUGGCAUUCCCACCAAAAAUACAAAACCUGCAUCUAAUCAUUAGAGAACAUUAAACAAACCUAAAUGGAGGAAUAGUCUAUAAAAAUCUGGCCUCUGGUCCUCAAAAGAUGAAAAGGCCAUGAAAGACAAAGAAAGCCCGAGGAAUUGAUCCCUAUUAAAGGAAACUAAAGAGAGAUGUCAAUUAAAUGCAGUGCUUUUUUUUUUUUUUUUUUUUUCCUUGUCUUUUCAGGGGCUGCAUCUGUUUCAUAUGGAAGUUCCCAGGCUAGGGGUCAAAUUGGAGCUGCAGCUGCCAGCCCUCACCACAGCCACAGCAAUGCUAGAUCCGAGCCAUGUCUGGACCUAUACCACAGCUCAUGACAACACCAGAUCCUUAACCCACUAAGCGAGGCCAGGGAUGGAACCCGCAAACUCAAGGUUCCUAGUCAGAUUCAUUUCUGCUACAUCAUAAAGGGAACUACUUUUUUCAUUUAUUUAUUUAUUUGUUUUGUCUUACACACUGAAGUAUUUAGGAAUAAAAAAGCAUCAAGUCUGCAACUUAUUCUCAAAUAGUUCAGAAAAAAUUAUAUAAACAUAUGCUAAUAUUAUAUUAUAAAUACAUACAGGAGGCAGAGUGAGGAGAAAGGAAGGGCAGAGGGGAAGGGUGGGGAGAGUGAAGAAAAUUUAACGUGGUAAAGUAUUAAAGUUGGGAAAUCUGAGUGGAAGGUAUAAGAGGUUCUUUGACUCUUCACGCAACUUUUACAGAUGAAAUUAUUUCAAAGGAAUGUUUUCAAAUCAUAUAGAUAUGGAAAGAUUCAAAAUAUUCUCUCAAUAAUGGAACAGAUUAAUUAAAACGUCAGGUGAAAAUGGCUAGGUGGCAAUGUCAUGGACAGUUCAGUAUCAUUUCUGCCAUUUAAAAUUAUGGGAAAUUAUUUCAAAUUGCAUGCUUAAAUAUGGGAAAUAUUACCAUAAGUUAUAUGAUGAAAUUCUUCAAUUGUUUAACACGGGGUCCCACAUUUUCACCCAUGAAUUAGGUAGCCCCAUCAAUUGCUGUAAUAUUUUCAUAAAAAUAACCAAAAUAAAUUAGUUAUUUCUGGAUAGGAAUAUAUCCGGGUGUUUAUUAAAUUAUUCUAUGUAUUUUCAGUAUGCCAAAAUGUUUUCUCAAGUUAACAAGGAUCUUUUCUUAGGUUUAUCUUAAGAUGCUAAUAUAGCCUGUGGUGAUAAAACUAGAAAAAAAAAGCAGCAAUAACAACCAAUAUUCACCAUUUUAAAGUUUUUUUAAGUUUGUUAAAUUUAUUUUGCUAUAAUUUACAUUUAAGGAAAAAUAUAAUUUCAUGAUAAAUCCCUAGAGUUUCUCUUCCAACCAAAUCACUACCCCAACUUUCCUAUAAAUAAGCUCUCAAACCACCAUUCAUAAGACAAUCCGGUUACCUUGGUGCUUUGCAUAUUUCACAUCUAUCAUAGGCUAAAGUGUGUAGUUUGGUUAAUAGCACAACUCCAUGAAUUCAUGUCUUAUCACAGGAGUAGAACUAUUAACAGCUCCAUGCAUUCAAUUCCCUCCACAUACACACAGCAAUUUAAUAGCCAGCCUUUUCUGUUUUCCCUGCUCACUCUGCCUGCAGCUUUCCUUUUGUCUUUUGCAUUCUUCCUUGCUUUUCUUAUUGUUGGAUGUCUUUGCUACUCAGGAUUUAGCUUAAUUUAAUUCUCACCUUACACUUUCCCCUGGUUUCACUUCUCCACCGUCUCCUUCUGCUCUGUAUUUGCAGCUGUUCCUGACCUCAUCACCAAACUAGGUAUCUCUCUUUUUUACAACAGCAUUUGAACUACCCUGAACUAGAGUUUACUUUAAAAGAAGUCUUGGCUCAGGAUGCUCUUCCCUCAUCUGGAUCCUCUGCAAGGACCUCUCUGCUGAAACAUCGCCUCUUCAAAACUUUUCUUUAGCCACACCUACAAUCCCUCCCCUCCUUCCAAGGCCAUCACUCCAUCCCCUCCCUCCAUUAUUUUUAUCACAUCACUCACGACUCUGGAUAUUCUCUCAUUUAUUUGUGUAGUUACGCAUAUUACACUCUCCUUCAUUAGAUAGAACCUAAGCCCUGGGAGGUUAAGAGGCUCUAUAUUCCUUGUCCCCUGCUCUAAGCCUGGCACUUAAAACAGGACUUAGCACACAGCAAGCAUCUAAUGUCUAUUGGAGAAAUAAACUUAGAUUGAUAGGCAGAGAAAAAGAGAGAAGGAUUUGCAGAGACAGAGAAGGGAAGUGCAAAAAUGUCCAUGCUUUUGGAACAAGGUCAGAGCAAGAUUUUUCCAAGAGCCUGAAGGAUGCCAGGAGAAUACAAGCACAGGCUUGGAGGAAGCUGGUGGCACCUGGGUCCCUGGAAACCCCACUAUCCCAUCAUGCCUUAGGGAACAUGCCCUCGCCAUGCCCUCUCGCAGAAUUAGGAGCUAAGCUUCAGGUGCAGCAACUUCCCUGGCCAUCAAUUCCAGGCAUCUCAAGUCUGCACUUCAGGGGGAGACUGUGAGAGAACCCCAUCCCUGUAAGGCCACGGGGCAAGGAUACCUGCACAGGAGAGUGCCUGAUCAUUAAAGCCAGGGAUUCCCUGCCUGAAGAUCACACAUGCCAGAGAUCUUUGGAACAUUUGCACUUCUGAGCCUCUCUACUCUGUUCAUGCGGCUCCCAGUUUCUUAGACCCCCACCCUCCAAGAUGCGGCAGGAGCUCACUUAUCUUCAUAAACCCAAGCUCUCUCCUGGAGCCCACUCUAUGGGCAGGGUCUGCUGGGAACUGGGUGAGCCAUGACCUGGCAGCUGAGAGUUUAACAGAGGGACUCCUGCCUGGGCCACUGUAAGGGGUCGGGAACCACAGGCUGCAGGUUACUGAGCCCAGAAGCUGCUGACAGGGUGAGGUUGGGGGGGCUGGGAGGGGGAUGGCACCUCCUGCUCCCCCCUCCCCAUUGGCUGAGCUCAACCAGGAGCCAGAGGGCAGGAGAGCCUUAAAGCCUGAAGAGGUUCUUACAAAGGGGGUUCCUUGGCAGUAGGUUGCGGGUAGGGAGUGAGCAUGGAUCUGGGAGAAGCAAACGGAAGUACCUGGGAAUCCGCACCCUGCUGUACGCACACUCACAACAAGGAGCACAGAGCGACAUCUUCUCCUCUCGGGUUCCGCUCUGUGUCCUGUGCGCCAGCCUUGUCUCUCUCAGCCAGACACUAAGCUCUUCAGGGGAAGGGCCCCUGUAUGAUUUUUCCUGCAUUCCCUACAGAGCUUGCCAUCUAGUCACAUAGCCUAUCAUACAAUCACAAUAAUUCAGUGAUUAUAGGACAGAUUACUAAAUAGGCCAUCUGAUUUUUGAUAUUAAAAAUAACCCAGAAGUAUCAGAAUUUACAAUACUCAAUUAGAUUUCUAGCCAUGAGUAUCUAUCUCACUAAGAGUAGCCAGAAUCCUGUACCAAUGAAUAUAGAUUUCUACACAGGAUACAAUGUAAUCUAGUAAAGAAAGUGAAUGAUGAAAGUAGCUUGUUAUCUGACAAGGAGACCACAUGAUCGGUUCCCCGAAAAUCACAAAAAAAAAAUCUUUUGGGUAUUUACUACUUGGCCAGUCCAUGAAAAUAUCAUAGAAAUUAAAAACUCUGGGAAGAGGAAAAAAAUCCUAACAAAUUCUCACAGAACUGAGUAGUGAUAUGCUAGUGAACAAUUGAUUAUGAUACAAAAAAGGGUGAAAGAAAAAGAACACAGCUCUUCUCUUUCAGGGUACUUUUCAAAAGGGAAUAAGUAAUUGACUGUUCCUUCAACCAAGCAAUUCUCCCCUAUCAUUUGAAAAAUAUAUUCUGGGUGCAGUUACAAAAUAAGAUAUAGAGUCUUGUUAUUGUUGUUGUUUUUCCUGGCUCACCCUUUGUGUUGCUGGGCAUCACUUGAUGAUAAAUAAGUAAUUCACAAGUUAUAGAGCAGCAGCAUCUUGCUUAGAGAACAGGAGGAAAAGACAACCAAAUGAAGUCUUAAAUAUCCUGGGAGUAUCUGGGCCAUUUAAAAUAAUGUGAAGUAACCAAGACCACUACUACAUCCCACUUCAUGUUCUUAAAAACCUACUCAUGAACAGCUGAAGCUGAACCAAUUCUUAGUACUUUAGACAUCCUGGGGGUCAGAACUACUGACCAAGUCACCACAGGCAGUGUUCCCCUCCUGCCUGCCACAAAGAUGGCACCACUAGCAGAAAAGAAUCAGUGCUUGUAAUAGUAAAUGCUCUGAUCUUGAAUUCAUUAACAUCUUUGGGUUGUAGCAUUCAUUCAUUCUGAAAACAAAUAUUUAUGGGGUGAGAUGAAGAGACACAACCCAAAUAACAAUGGCCACAGGAAGUGCCAACCUAAAGGAAACCUUACUGAAGGGAUGUGUCACUGCAGUGUGAAGGUAAGUCCAAGUACUGCUUGAGCCAAAACCUAACAGAAGCAGCCUCCAAGGCUUUAGAUACAUUUCAAUCUUGUCUUCAAAAGGUUAUUAUGAAAAAGAGCAGUGGCAACAAAAUUCAGUUGAAAAGUUUCAUAUGAAGACUUAGCUUGGGAUGUCUUAGUCCCUUCUUUGUCAUACCCCAAACCACUUCCGCACAAAAUUGCUAUAUCUCCAUAUGGUUCCAUAGAAACUAGGCACUUUUCAUCUGGGGGCAUGAAAAGCCCUGGUUAUCAUGCUCCGAACAGCAGGAAGUAUUAUUAAGUCUAAUCAUUACUGCUAGUGCUUUAUAGUAUACCUUAGGUUAUUGCCUGAUUUUUAUGAAUAUAGACAAUAAUCAUUAACUCUUAGCGGCAGUAUAGAAUCAUUUCCCCCCACUGUUAAUGUUCUCCCUCAUAAAGGACAUGGAUGAAAAACCUUUGGGGCACCUAAUUCUUUUAUGGAUGAUCCAUGAGCAUAAAGCUAUGACUGUUUAUCUCUUAAGUGUAAUUACCGUAUUUCUCACAUCAAUGCCCACGGUUGAACAUCAAUUAAAACUAGAUGUCCAAUUUUCAUGUUUCAAAUCAAUUUAAUUGUGUGAAGAAAAUCCGUGUUGUAUGCCCUCUGGUAUGUAUCUUUCAGGAGGAAUUACUUUGCCAAUUCUAGAAAGGGUUGUGGAAUACGAGGUGGUUCCUUCUAUGAAAUAAUCCAAUUCUGUAGGCAGCUGCCAUCAAGACCAGAGCUGCCAU
rnacentral:lncRNA from 1 species